rnacentral:misc_RNA from 1 species
GAUGAAGAACGCAGCGAAACGCGAUAGGUAAUGUGAAUUGCAGAAUCCAGUGAAUCAUCGAAUCUUUGAACGCACAUUGCGCCCGCCAGCAUUCUGGCGGGCAUGCCUGUUCGAGCGUCAUUUCAACCCUCGACCUCCCCUUGGGGAGGUCGGCGUUGGGGACCGGCAGCACACCGCCGGCCCUGAGAUGGAGUGGCGGCCCGUCCGCGGCGACCUCUGCGCAGUAAUACAGCUCGCACCGGGACCCCGACGCGGCCACGCCGUAAAACACCCAACUUCUGAACGUUGACCUCGAAUCAGGUAGGACUACCCGCUGAACUUAAGCAUAUCAAUAAGCGGAGGA